rnacentral:rRNA from 1 species
UACGGAGGGGGCUAGCGUUGUUCGGAAUUACUGGGCGUAAAGCGUGCGUAGGCGGUUUGUUAAGUCCGUUGUGAAAGCCCUGGGCUCAACCUGGGAAUUGCAGUGGAUACUGGCGAGCUAGAGUGCGGUAGAGGAUGGUGGAAUUCCCAGUGUAGAGGUGAAAUUCGUAGAUAUUGGGAAGAACACCGGUGGCGAAGGCGGCCAUCUGGACCGUUUCUGACGCUGAGGCGCGAAAGCGUGGGGAGCAAACAGGG